UGAGGAAUAUUGCGCAAUGGACGAAAGUCUGACGCAGCCAUGCCGCGUGCAGGAUUGAAGGCCCUAUGGGUUGUAAACUGCUUUUGUACGGGAAUAAACGCUCCUACGUGUAGGAGCCUGAAGGUACCGUAAGAAUAAGCACCGGCUAACUCCGUGCCAGCAGCCGCGGUAAUACGGAGGGUGCAAGCGUUAUCCGGAUUUAUUGGGUUUAAAGGGUCCGUAGGCGGGCCGUUAAGUCAGUGGUGAAAGCCCACAGCUCAACUGUGGAAUUGCCAUUGAUACUGGCGGUCUUGAGUAUGUAUGAAGUUGGCGGAAUGUGUGGUGUAGCGGUGAAAUGCUUAGAUAUCACACAGAACACCGAUUGCGAAGGCAGCUGGCUAAUACAUAACUGACGCUGAGG
rnacentral:rRNA from 1 species